ACCCAACCUGCCCGGAACCUUUCUCCGACCGGCCCUACUGCCCGGGCGGACGCUUCCGGGCAGCGCGUCGAGCGAGGGCAGAUUUUCCAUCGUUCUAACAACUCUGCUCUUUCAUGGAAGCUGUCCAUGUUGAGUGAUGCCUUUUGAGAACAUUGGAAAGAACUUCAUUUGGACAUGAAAUCUGAAGAAUUACAGAAGUGUAUCCAGCCCUGCAUGCAACCGAGUUUGAGUUUAUGCACAGGCAUUGAAGACUUUGAGAUGUCCCCAGCACCUGAAAGGAGUUAUAAACAGCCACAGAAUAUUGAGAUCUGAUAAUGAUUUUUUUUUUCUGCACUGGUUCCCAGUCUAAUAAAUUUUCAAAUAAUUGAAAAAUCAUGCAAAUAUGGUUUAUUCUACACUUUAUUGUUUGAAAACUCAAGUUGUUCCAUAGACCAACAUGAAUUUAAUAUAAAUAUACAGGCUAUAAACCAGUGGUGGUCUUCAGAAGCAAUGGAGGGAAAUUGUAUUCAAACAGUUGAGAAAGCAAAUACUUUUACUAGUGUCAUACCUUCACUGAAAUAAAGCAAACUAAAAUGAACAUGUUUAAGUGAACCAGUUGGUGACCAGGUUUUGUAACCUUAUUGUAUUUUUCUUCUACAUUCAGUUAGUGUACCAUAAAAAUACAGACUUGAAUUUUAUUAAGUUUUCUUGGAAAUAUGAAGUGCACCUUAAAAAAAGCAUGAAAAUAAAAUAUAUUUUUAAUAUAAAAUCUAUAUUUUACUGCUGGAAAGUUUAUCUCAACAAAGUAAACAAAAAUAAGAACUUUCUAGAAUGCAGAAGAUGGAUGUUCUGAGUGAACUGCCAGCCCCAGUGUUCUGACUUGGGUAACAUGAGAGCUGUUUUGCCCGUGGCAGAGGCAGAGUUUAUUCUUGUUCCCAUGGAAUUAAGUUGUUGUGGUCUGUGAUGUGUUACAUGGAGUGGUUGCAUUUUAAAAGUAAAGGUAUUCAGGAUUAAAGAUUUCCACUUUAAAAUGGUUCAGGUGGUAGCACAGAUACUGAUACACAUUUUACCCCUGCUUGGUUUUAUUUAGAGGCAGGUAUUAAGCUGAAGCAGUGGCCCUGCAGUCACCGUGUGUGUGCUCAGUGUCCAAACGCUGUUCCAGAGCAAUUCAGCUGUCAGAGUGUCAGAGUCACAGCUGAGGGGUGCAUCGGGGGAGGCACGACUGGACCUCAGCAGGGCAAGUAUCUAAGAAUGUUGGAAAAGGUUAAACAUCAAUCAUCAUACAAGAGUAUGUUAGUCCAUGCAAAAAAGCUUAGACAGGAAAAAAAUUCUCUUAUGAACAAUAUUACUGAUUAAAUAUAAUUUAUCAAUUAUCAAACCUAAAUACCAAAUAGAAUCUGUUAAUAAUACAGUAAUUAAGAUAUUAUCAAGUUCAAUUAGUGAUUUAAUAUCGUAGGCAUCUCUUCCUAGACAUGGUAAAUGUAUUUAUUUGAGAUUAACAAUAUGUCUAAUUAUUAAUGUCUUCAACUUUGAUCUAUUAUUCAAGUAGAUAUGUGAUUAUUCAGAUAUUACCAUAGAAGACAAGUUGCUAAAUAAGAGUAAAACUACCCUGAACAGCACUAUCAAAAUCCUUUAUAUUAGAGGGGUUUGCAGGGUUUCAGGGAAAUUUUACCCAAUUGCAGUUCAUCAAAGACUCAGACCUAAAAUCAGCUAAAAUGUUGAUUUUGUCGAGGAAGGUUGUAAAUUUUUCAGUUUGAAGAAGACACUACAAUCAACAUGAAUUGAUUGGAUAAGUGUUUGAGCCUUGGGGAAAGAAAAUGGGGUUUUGAUAUGUUCUGAGUAGUCUUCAUCUUUAGAAUGUUGAGCAUGGAGAUGAGCUAAGGACAGGAAAGGACAAUUGGGAUAAAAUGUGAUUCUGCAAAUUUUUACUGUGUCAAUGUAACUUAAAGUGAAGGGGUGCUUCCACAGAGUACAUGGAUGUUUCCAGAAUGAGCCUCCAAGCCUACCUGAGAAUUUAAAGUACAGACUAGAAUGCAUGAAAGAAGUCCGUGGGGGAAGAUGAAAUAGAUGGUCCAUUAAGCAGUUCUGCAAGUUGGGAGGUUGCUUCUGGAGGAAAUAAAGAGAUCAGAAUAAAGAAGAAAUCCAAGACACGAGAGGAAACAUAUAGAGACUAGCAUGCUGCAGAGAUGUGUGUAGCAUUGGUUGUAGAAGUAUGAAGAAAAGAUGUGUGUUCAUUACCUUAGUAAUAUUAUUGUAUUAAAAAAAUCAGUAUAGGGGAGUAACUCAGGUGGUGGGAAUUAUGGAGAUAUAUGUGUGAUCUUUUAAACUGAAACCCAAACAAGAAACUAAAAAAAAUCCUUUAAUCUUUGCUU